GCUGAUGUAGCUCAGUGGUAGAGCAUAUGCCUAGCAUCCAUAAGGUUCUGGGUUCAUCCCCAGCACCACA
rnacentral:tRNA from 1 species